rnacentral:tRNA from 1 species
GGAGAGGUGGCUGAGCGGUCUAAAGCGGCGGUCUUGAAAACCGUAGAAGGUAACACUUCCGUGGGUUCGAAUCCCACUCUCUCCGCCA